rnacentral:lncRNA from 1 species
AUUUUGUUGCUUUAAAAGCAUGAUGGCAAAGAACCACUGAAUCCGGUGUUAAUUAAACGAGACGCGGCGUCAGAUUUCCGAUGAUAUUUGACCGCUUGAAAUUCUAGCGUCAAUUAAACGAGACCGCGGCGACUCCUUUUGCUGUUACGGCGACAUUUUUUUCUCGUCAUCUCUGUCCGCGUUUCUUUCACAAAGUAGUUGAUGCGAAUAUUUGGUGACGCUGACGCUAGAUACU